rnacentral:rRNA from 1 species
GACGAACGCUGGCGGCGCGCUUAACACAUGCAAGUCGAACGGAAAGGCCCUGCUUUUGUGGGGUGCUCGAGUGGCGAAAGGGCGAGUAACACGUGAGUAACCUGCCCUUGACUUUGGGAUAACUUCAUGAAACUGGGGCUAAUACCGGAUAGGAGCUCCUGCUGCAUGGUGGGGGUGGGAAAGUUUCGGCGGUUGGGGAUGGACUCGCGGCUUAUCAGCUUGUUGGUGGGGUAGUGGCUUACCAAGGCUUGGACGGGUAGCCGGCCUGAGAGGGUGACCGGCCACAUUGGGACUGAGGUACGGCCCAGACUGCUACGGGAGGCAGCAGUGGGGAAUAUUGAACAAUGGGCGGAAGCCUGAUGCAGGAACGCCGCGUGCGGGAUGACGGCCUUCGGGUUGUAAACCGCUUUCGCCUGUGCCGAAGCGUGAGUGACGGUAAUGGGUAGAGAAGCACCGGCUAACUACGUG